rnacentral:lncRNA from 1 species
ACGCCUAAAACCCGGUUCUUUCUCCCACAACUGCGGCAGCCUUUACGCUCUCUCUUGCACGGCCUUCCUGACGCCGUGAGUACGACAGCAAAUCUCGGGCGGGACCGAAACUGCUUCGGGUACUUGUGGUUUCAAGGUGAAGAAUUGCAAGCAGGUGACGUUUAGAAGUGAGGCUUCGUAAUAGGGUUUCGGACACUAUGUGUCUCAGUGUUCAAGUUAAGCGCUAAGGGCAUUCACGAUGAACGAAUGAACCCAGCACCAGGUUUGUUUCGGGCCACAUAAGUUGGGCUGCAUCACUGUCGACGCUAUCGGGUAAUGUCGAGGGCGGGGUGGGUACUUGACGGCUUCAUCGUCCUUACGGCACGGUUACCCGCUGUAUACGUCGACCGGUGAACUUCCUUCUUCAGUCGCUAGGAGUUACCCGAAAAGUGCGCUUCAACUGCUACGUUCCCAGCUUUCUGUGGUCUGUAUGCAUAAAAAAGUUUUUUCCAAUCUUUCGUAGUUCACUGGAUGGCACGGCGAAUGGCGCACGCCGGAUGACUCGCGGAACACCGGGACCCGGAGCUGGGUAACCUGGAGCAAGACCCCUUGACGGCUGUAGUGCUAUCAACCCAUGUGAACUCCUGGGCUUUGAGGCGAACUGAAUUUUCUUCGUUUAUGUGGAUGCAAGUUGUGUAUGGGGCCGGAGUGUCUACGCUGAGCCUUGCGCUGCCACUAGUUAGCACCUGGAAAUUGCAGCGACAUGCCGCUACCAUCCGAGAGUAGCGCCGGUUCACGGUGAACGUCGGUGCCGGCAUUUUCGCGCCGGGUGCAUUCAUUACUGGUCGUGUCUUUCUUUGUUGCAACGGUAAAGUGCGUCCGUUGGUAGGCGUUCACGCAACAAUGCUACCGCUGCACUGGUGAUGGCAGGAAGGACGACACUAGUCUCAUAAAGGAGUUUCAGGCAGCUCGAAACCGCUCCGCCGCGCGAGAGGAAGCGAGAAGCGAGCGGCCAGGGCUGGCGACAGCAGCCUCACAGCGUCUGCCGUUCGUGGAGUUUUCUUACGUUGACGCUCUCUGGGUGAUGCGGUGUGCCAGUGACUGAAACCGCGGUCUACGCAUCCGACACCGGUGUGUGACUCGUGGGAACUGCGAUAGUCAUUGAAACCCAUAGCAAUGUAUCGUAUCGACAUCUACGUGGACACCAGAGGCGACUUGUUUUGACUGCUUCCUGCUUCCUGUAUGUACCAUCGCCCUCCUAACCACAGGCGGUGGGGUCUUUCAAAAGUAUCUGGGCUAGCUGUCCUUGGUUAGAACGUCCCGAUGCUGUCACGUCCCUCGUCAUCGCGGCGGUGACCUGAAGUCGUGAGGUUUUCAGUAAGACGACGAGCUUCUUGAUUAACACUUUUCCCAUUGGGAACUAUGGAACAAAGGUGCGGCUUUAUUGGUGAGGGGCAGUUAUUCCAUUUUCUGUGCAGGGUGGAGCGUUGUUCCGUGUCACGUGAGAAAACGGCUUUCUAGCUCGCUGAUGAUGGUCCCAGCCGACCCAGCACAUUGCUGGGAUCGGGUACGUCGCUGAAGAUGUGCAGCAAAUGUGUACCACCGGAGAUGUGAAUUCGAACCCUUUCUCAGAUCAAGAUCAUCAUUUGCGACUACCUUCAUUGCUAAUUGUGGGUUUAGCUUCAGAAACGUCGAGGUUAGUUUGACCUCAAGAAACGUGCUGUAACGGACAUUUCAAGGAGCUCCAAAGUUAUGUUUCAUUCUCAGUGGCCCUUCACCCCCCGUAGCACUGCAAGGGCGUGAUUGAUUUCAGAAGAGGGGUGAAAGACUCACUGACGUGUGGUUUUUUCCGUACUGUGCGGAAGUCAGUGGACUCCCGUAUUUGGGGACUAGCAACGCUGGUGUUCUGUGUGCAUCGAUAGAGCAUUAGCACAUUUGCCAUACACCACACAUCCUUUUAACGACGGCUCGUUUUGAGCCCGAGGGAAAUGCUGUUCGGUGGCGAAUCAGGUCAGCUUCCACCGGUGGUGCUUUCUUACGGCACAAACGCCAAUAGUUGUGUCAAAUCAUCGGAAGCGAGAUACGAUUCGACAGUGCGAUGUAAAUGAACCGCAGUUUUCUUAAAUAGUGUGCAUCCUCUUCAGGGCAGUCCCCAUCCUAGUAACUCUCAAAUACAAGACAAGCAUGAAACGUUACUGUCUGGUGGUGGCAGGGUAAGAAUCAAGAAGCGUAUGGCCGAAGCUGUUGUGUGUCUUCUGCCAAAGGCGGCUCGGGAGUCCCCAGUUCUGUGCCUGCGAUUCUUUUCACGUUCUUUCCGAGAACCAUGUGUGGUGCCGUUCUCGUGCAUCUCCUGUUCGGCCAGGCGGUCGUGCGGAAUCAGUCUACGAAAGCUGCUGCCAAGAGACUCCAACAGGUAGACGAACAAGAAGCGGAUGCUGUCGGGAGGGAAGAGAUCGUCUCGGAGCAGCCUUGGUCUGCGAUAGCAGUAACGGAUGUCAAUUCCUUGGAGCGUCGUUUGUUUUUUGAAGAAAUGGUGGAGAGGUCGAUCCCCUCCCCUGAACUGGCGGGUUUGCCGACGAGGAUACCCGGUGGCCAAGUGUUUCUCCCAGAGCUGUC